CAAAUUCGGAUUCACUGUCUCUCUCUCUCUCUUGCUUUUUUCAGGACCAUUGACAUUUACUUUUUGAAGCCUUUUUGUUCAUCAGAUGGGGUGGUCUGAUAGCUUCUCACCCCUGCGGUGCAGAUCGUUCAAGUCCGGGAAAUGUCUGUCUGUGGUCGUGACACCUGUUCACACGGAUAGCUGUCGGGGAAUUAUUUCUGGCUACCCGUGCUAUCUACCCUUACAUGACACAUCAUCAUUACACUCCUCCCUAGAGAGUUCAAUCAUCUCGAGUCCACUACUUAUUACCUAGAAAUCAUUUUACCCGAAUGAUAUGCUUUGCCGGGAGGAGGAGGAGGAAGUUGGGAGAGUGAUCAGGUGAUGAUGACGCGUGAAGCCGCCCGCCAUUGAAGCUUGUACAUCCGGGCUACAAAAGGAAGAAAAGCUACAACCACGAUUCCAGAUGAAGGAAAGACCCAAAGUAUCUAGCAAUGAGUUAGCAAAUAAAAUCUUGCCAAUUCGGAACAUGGAGACAGAUAAUUUUUUGCUCCAAAGUUAUGGUUCAUAUAAUAUAUUGUAGUCUAUACCAGAAGCACGGUAAUCUACAUUUUGCAAAGAUUGACACAGGACAAACGCCUAGUUCCCCUGUCACCCUCUGUUGGUGUGAUAGUUUCUACAUUCAGCAUCAUUUUCGUCAAUCUUAUUUGCAUCCUGUCACAAAGAAUCAAGAUAUUCACACCCAGGUUUUGCUUCCUUACAACAAAGUAGGUAGGAGCAUACAAGUUUUGUAUUUGCCAAGUUGUUGCUAAACUGGAUGCUUUUAUUUAUCUGAAGAUAACUUUUCUGUCGCUUGGGGGAAAUGUUGGGAGGGUGCACGUGACUCUCGCUCCUAUGGAUGCUGUCAGCGACUUUAGCAGACUGGCUAACACCCACAACCAUCUCCUUGACAACCUGGACAGGCUGGCAGUGGCAGAUUCUCAGCCAAACAAUACAGUGUGGGUGUUUUCUUCUCACCUCCACUAUCACUCAGAUAAGCUAAUGACAGAUGCC